rnacentral:rRNA from 1 species
UACGAAGGGGGCUAGCGUUGCUCGGAAUCACUGGGCGUAAAGCGCACGUAGGCGGGUCGUUAAGUCAGGGGUGAAAUCCCGGAGCUCAACUCCGGAACUGCCUUUGAUACUGGCGAUCUAGAGGUCGAGAGAGGUGAGUGGAAUUCCGAGUGUAGAGGUGAAAUUCGUAGAUAUUCGGAAGAACACCAGUGGCGAAGGCGGCUCACUGGCUCGAUACUGACGCUGAGGUGCGAAAGCGUGGGGAGCAAACAGG